UUCAAACUUGGGAAAGCUAGGCAGAGGCAGCAGUGUGCUGCUUGAAGUUGAGGGAGUAACAUCACCUGGCUGAGCUGCUGCUCACAACAUCUUGGAGGUGCAGGAAGGGCUCUUGGGCUCUGGCCCCAGCACUGUACUUCUUGGUAGCAGAACAGUUCAGCUCCCAGCUUGUGUCCUGCCUCAACUGCUCCUUCACCCAGAUUUUGGCCCUCUCUGCUCUCUCUUUUGGGAUUCAAGGUUCUAGUGGGACACUUAUUUGUUUAAAUGCCAAUCAUUGGGUUUCUUCAACAGAGUUAACUGCUUCCUCUUGAAGGACUAAUCUACUCUAAUGCAGAUAUUUGAGGACCGUUAUCAAAUGCCACCUUAAGGGCCUUUACCAUUGACUGGAAGAAUCAAUGAGAACACCACCUAAGUCCCUGUUCCCUUCACCCUUGCACCAUGUAGUCUGUUCAAGAUCACCCUGGCCAGUAUCUUCAGUGCCCACAUGGAUGAGCAGCAUGGGACACUAGUCAAAGCAACCUUUCCAUGAUGUCUCAGUUGUGGGCAAAUGGAUGCCUCUGUGCCCCAUAGGAGAGUCAACAACAACUACCAGUCACUGCUGCUUCAAGGCAGCAGUGGCCUCCAUUCAUCCACCCCUAGGGCUGCAUGGUUUUACCUCUCCUGCCACUGGAGUAGACUCCUCAUCCAAUGCCAGGGCUUCAUAACUGGUCUUCAGCUGGGCAGCCACAGGUUUCAGAAAAGGAAUGCUGUAUGUUGCCCAAGGUGACAAGCUCCCAUCUUCCACAUUCCUAAGUACCUGUGUCUCCUGUGUCUUCCAAUGCGUUCUCUGUGUGUUCCUCUUCCACUAUGUGGGGUAUCUUUUUGUGCAUUGAGUCAAUGAAGGCCUCACGCUUACAGAUGCUUCUGAACCUAUCCACCUGUUCCAGCACCUCCCUUACUUGUUUCUUGAGGGAAUUCAUCAGAAGCUAUUUUAUUGUUUCCAUUUUGUUAAGUUACUUUGAUGUUUUGUAGAAGUGCUUAGAGGCCAAAGUUCACUUGAUAGGUAUUUGCAUAUAACAAAAAGACAGUUUUGGCCCUGAAGAACUUCAGAUCUAAUUAUAAGGUAAGAGACAGCAUGGCUAUACCACGGAAAACCAGGGAUCUUAAAGUAAGAAUGGUCUGAUUAUUAAUAAGUCAAUAUAAUCUUGCAUUUCAUCAGUAGUUGCAUAAAAGCCCAUACACUCUGAAAUAAAUAUAGAAUAUUUUACUAUGUAUGAUUUGUGUCAUGAGCUAAAUAUUGGGGAAUAAAGGC